AGGGUACGCCAGCCUUUGGUAUUCUUUCUGACGGCGAUCUUCGCCCUCUUCGACCUGGUCCUUCUGAGAUAUUUCUACCAUAUUUACCCCAACAUUUCGUUCGUCGGCGAUGCUCAAUUCGUUCAUCUUCCUGAUGAGCCUCUCUUCUUCGCCUUCGACGCCUUUUGGUGUCUGGUCGAACUCUUUCUCUGGGCAGCAGCACCAAGAUAUGGUCCUGGGACCAUGUUUGCAACAGCAUUUGUUCCAA
rnacentral:lncRNA from 1 species